ACUCCUACGGGAGGCAGCAGUGGGGAAUAUUGCACAAUGGGGGAAACCCUGAUGCAGCCAUGCCGCGUGUGUGAAGAAGGCCUUGGGUUGUAAAGCACUUUCUAGUAGGGAGGAAGGUAGUGUAGUUAAUACCUGCAUUAUUUGUACGUUACCUACAGAAGAAGCACCGGCUAACUCCGUGCCAGCAGCCGCGGUAAGUACGGAGGGUGCGAGCGUUAAUCGGAAUUACUGGGCGUAAAGCGCAUGCAGGCGGCCUGUUAAGUCAGAUGUGAAAGCCCGGGGUCGUUAACCUCGGAAUUGCAUUUGAAACUGGCAGGCUAGAGUCUUGUAGAGGGGUUAGGAAUUUCAGGUGUAGCGGUGAAAUGCGUAGAGAUCUGAAGGAAUACCAGUGGCGAA
rnacentral:rRNA from 1 species